CCUCUCAAAGCCUCCUCUAACCCAAGCGCUCUUGCCCUCCUUUGAAGCACUAGCUUCUUUCCCCUUCCAAACUCUAGAAUAAUGAGGCUUUUUGCUCUUCUCCUCCGCCAUCUGAUCAUGGAGGAAGGAGACGGGAAUCCCGCAAGAAGAAGGUCGUCAUGCGCAUCGGCUACGUGGGAACUGAUUACAGAGCUUAGCGUGGAAGGAUCUUUGCUAAAGCAUUCCAGUGUUGACAUAUAGCAAUUGAAGCAGAGUUGGAAUCUGCUGUCUUUGAGGCAGGUGGAUCCGUGAUAGUAAAUAUGGAAUGCAGGUCUGCAUAGAAUUGGGUGGGCUAGGACUAGCUGAACCGACAAAAGGAGUGAGGGUCACAUGUGCAUCUGUUGGCAGCCAUGAUUUCAUUGAAGAUGGAGAUCGCAGAGCAUGCACGGAGACAGAAGAUACUGGUGGCAUGAUUGCUGCAAAUUAUGUUAUUCUAACCUAGUGUCAGUUUUCAGCAUAUCACCGUCUCAUAAGAAUUUUGAUGCAAGAAAAGAAAAAAAAAAAAAGUGGACUGUUCAGAUGUACUCUUAUCUCCUGCCUGCUGAAAUUAUUGGAAUUGGUUGUGAUUCCAGCUCUGCAGAAAUUUAUGACCAUUUAUAUCAAUUCAACAAUAUACUGAAAAGUUUUGAGGUAUAUGUUUGUCGCUGGCUUGUAUUUGAGUUUGUUUUUACUAUGAUAUCUUGGUUCUCUGGACAUUUUGUUCUUUAACGAUUAAUACAUAUAUAGAUCUGUUUCCUCAUUUGUGAAC